rnacentral:rRNA from 1 species
GGUUGAUCCUGCCGGAGGCUAUUGCUAUCAGGGUUUGACUAAGCCAUGCGAGUCGAGAGGUGAAAGACCUCGGCAUACUGCUCAGUAACACGUGGAUAAUCUGCCCUCAGAUGAGGAAUAAUCCCGGGAAACUGGGGCUAAUGCCUCAUAGGAGACGGGUGCUGGAAUGCUCUGUCUCUGAAAGGUCCGCCGUCUGAGGAUGAGUCUGCGUCCGAUUAGGUUGUUGUUGGGGUAACGGCCCACCAAGCCAUUGAUCGGUACGGGUUGUGGGAGCAAGAGCCCGGAGAUGGAUUCUGAGACAUGAAUCCAGGCCCUACGGGGCGCAGCAGGCGCGAAAACUUUACAAUGCGAGCAAUCGUGAUAAGGAAACCCUGAGUGCCUGUCAAUGCAGGCUGUUCUGGUGUUUAGUCCGCACCAGGAGAAAGGGCGGGGCAAGACCGGUGCCAGCCGCCGCGGUAAUACCGGCUGCUCGAGUGAUAGCCACUUUUACUGGGCUUAAAGCGUUCGUAGCUUGGUCGUUAAGUCUCUGGGGAAAUCUUCUGGCUUAACCAGAAGGCGUCUCAGAGAAACUGGCGACCUUGGGACCGGGAGAGGUAAGACGUACUUCGGGGGUAGGAGUGAAAUCUUGUAAU